rnacentral:lncRNA from 1 species
UUUGGAUGGAUCACACUGUUGAUGGGGAUGUUCAAGCUCCUUCCAUCCAAUGUUGUAAGAUGAACGGUGUAGCCUGUUAAUGCUUCGGCCAGCGAUAUCUUUUGCGUGACAACCAGGUCAUUGCCAUCGCGUGUGAAUGUGCUGUGAGGUUUUUCAUCUAUUAUGAAAACAAGAUCUGCAGGGAUUGUGUUCGGUUGUUCGUUUCCUUUCUCAGGGAAGGUAAUCUUUGUUCCCUUUUUCCAACCAGGUUUGAUAUCAAUGGUCAGGAUUUCCUGCACUGGCAAUGUCUUCCUGCAACACAGACAAAUUUUUAAGACAACCUUGUUAGCAAGGGAACCAUCAGCAGCCAUGAAAAUAGUUGGCAUUAUCAGGCAUGUUACGAUCUUAUCUCGGAUAGGUAUGUUAUUUAGAAACAUGUACGAAAUAUGAUCAAGACAAACUCUUC